GACGAACCGUGCGAACGUUGUUCGGAUUCACUGGGCUUAAAGGGCGCGUAGGCGGGCGGUCAAGUCAGGGGUGAAAUCUUUCGGCUCAACCGGAAGAGUGCCUCUGAUACUGGCCGCCUCGAGGGAGGUAGGGGCAUGCGGAACUUCCGGUGGAGCGGUGAAAUGCGUAGAUAUCGGAAGGAACGCCGGUGGCGAAAGCGGCGUGCUGGACCUCUUCUGACGCUGAGGCGCGAAAGCCAGGGGAGCGGAACGGG
rnacentral:rRNA from 1 species